CCGCAUUAUGACAAAUAUCACAACCAGUCGUCGCCUCCCAACUGCAGAACAACUGCUCUCUGUUUAGACCAAUCACCUGCCAGGUAGAGUUGGGAUGCCCCCCCCCCCCUACCUAGGAAGACAGGUAGCAUUAUGGGAAGUCAGUGUAUGCCUUUUAAAGUGGUUUUUCAACAUCACAUCAGUACUAAUCUUGUGUUUUGUAACCCAAAAUAAAAGAGCGCUGUAGAGCGCUGUUGGUCAGAGUGCUGUUGUUCAGAGCGCUGUAGAGCGCUGUUGGUCAGAGCGCUGUAGAGCGCUGUUGUUCAGAGCGCUGUUGUUCAGAGCGCUGUUGUUCAGAGCGCUGUAGAGCGCUGUUGUUCAGAGCGCUGUUGUUCAGAGCGCUGUUGAGCGCUGUUGGUCAGAGCGCUGUUGGUCAGAGCGCUGUUGGUCAGAGCGCUGUUGUUCAGAGCGCUGUAGAGCGCUGUUGGUCAGAGCGCUGUAGAGCGCUGUUGGUCAGAGCGCUGUUGAGCGCUGUUGUUCAGAGCGCUGUUGGUCAGAGCGCUGUAGAGCGCUGUUGGUCAGAGCGCUGUUGGUCAGAGCGCUGUUGUUCAGAGCGCUGUUGUUCAGAGCGCUGUUGGUCAGAGCGCUGUUGUUCAGAGCGCUGUAGAGCGCUGUUGGUCAGAGCGCUGUUGGUCAGAGCGCUGUUGGUCAGAGCGCUGUUGGUCAGAGCGCUGUUGUUCAGAGCGCUGUUGGUCAGAGCGCUGUUGUUCAGAGCGCUGUUGUGCAGAGCGCUGUUGUGCAGAGCGCUGUUGUUC
ensembl:lncRNA